rfam:Daphnia magna strain Xinb3 contig17871, whole genome shotgun sequence.
GCCUCGAUAGCGAAGUAGGCAGCGCGCGAGUCUCAUAAUCUCGAGGUCGAGAUUUCGAAUCUCACUCGGGGCA